UAGCUGGGUCUAUAUAUAGUGCAGGAAGUGAAUCGGAUGUAUAUCAGAACCAUAUCUACGUGCGUAGGAGACGGUUGAAUAGGUAGGAUCUUAAAAACAUCAAAAUUCAGAUUCAUUUUCGCUUUUUUUUCAUUCACUAGUUGCACCUGAGAAUGAGGUCUUUUCGCAAUCCCAUUUAGAGCUGAUAGCUAUGCUAAUACUCCUCAGAUCGAAUUAAUCUUUCACAGGCCUAGGUAGGUUCAGGACCAAAAGACUGUCCCUAUAUAUAUUACCCAAUUCAAAGGUUGAUUGUGUUAAUUGGAUGUUAACCCCACGGUUAACUUUUUAUGUGGUAAGUUUCGAUUUUGACUUCUAUAUUAAUGUUGAAUAAAGCUUGCUGACAAAUUUCAAGCUAUAGUUUAAAAUUUAUAAUCAAAGUAGCUUUAAGAGAAUUUAGUUAAUUUACCAAAACAGUCCCAC